rnacentral:rRNA from 1 species
UACGAAGGGGGCUAGCGUUGCUCGGAAUUACUGGGCGUAAAGGGCUCGUAGGUGGCCAACUAAGUCAGACGUGAAAUCCCUCGGCUUAACCGGGGAACUGCGUCUGAUACUGGAUGGCUUGAGUUUGGGAGAGGGAUGCGGAAUUCCAGGUGUAGCGGUGAAAUGCGUAGAUAUCUGGAGGAACACCGGUGGCGAAGGCGGCAUCCUGGACCAAUACUGACACUGAGGAGCGAAAGCCAGGGGAGCAAACGGG